AUACUUACGAGGCAGGGGAGAUACGAUGAUCACAAAUGUGGUUUUCCCAAGGUAAGGCUUAUCCAUUGCAUUACAGAUGUGUCGACCCCUGAGAUUUCCCCAAAUGUGGGAAACUCAACUUCAUAAUUUAUAGUAGUGGGGAACUACAUUCACCUUCUCCCUU